rnacentral:rRNA from 1 species
UACGGAGGAUCCGAGCGUUAUCCGGAUUUAUUGGGCUUAAAGGGUGCGUAGGCGGCCUGUUAAGUCAGGGGUGAAAGACGGUAGCUCAACUAUCGCAGUGCCCUUGAUACUGAUGGGCUUGAAUGUACUAGAGGUAGGCGGAAUGUGACAAGUAGCGGUGAAAUGCAUAGAUAUGUCGCAGAACACCAAUUGCGAAGGCAGCUUACUAUGGUAUAAUUGACGCUGAGGCACGAAAGCGUGGGGAUCAAACAGG